CCGGAUGCUGCCUUAAGCCUUAUGAGGUCGCCACGGAACCGCAGGAUUGGGACUGAUGACUUUAUAAGAAGAAGAGAGGCCUCAACUAGCACAUUUGCAUGUUCAGCCCACUUGCCAUUUGAUGCCCUGCAAAGCCUCGGAAUUCAGCAGAGUCCCCACCAGCAAGAAGGCCCUCAAUAGACACAGCCCUUUGAGGCUGGACUUCUCAACCUCCAAAACGCCUGAUUAAUGACAGAGCUGCUUCAUUGUUCAGUCCGAGCUGAUUUUCAUUCCACAGAAGAGGAAAGCAAAUGCCCCCACGCCCAGAAAAAAUAAAAAUUACACUUCAUGGAACAAAACGGAAACACAAACUCAUCUGGAUGUUGACUUGUCUAUAUGCAACAGCAAUCAUUUCCUCCUCUCCCCGCUGCCUUCCUAAAGAACAGCAGGAUUGGGAAAGGAGACGGGAAUCUUGAGACCGCGGGCCUUUCCUGGAGCCGGCCUUGGCUGAGCAGGACACACCCCCGCUAGCGCACUUGCUCCCUCCGUCUACUGCGCGCAAAACCCGAUGGAAAUAACAGGGAGCCUGGAAUAAAGCUGACCCUUUCCCGUAUCAGAGCGAAAGGCCAGGUACACGAAGACGGGGCUGGGAUCUGUCUCCGAGUUCCCCGCAGUUUCCAUGGGAGGGAGCUCGGGUAAAGCUGUGCAAUCUGCAGUUCUUCAGACUGCGUCUUUUUGUUUGGGGGCCUUCAUUCACUCCGGGGUUCCUGUAUCUAACUCGGAGCCAUUCCGGGCCGCUGGACCUGGGCGGCUCUGAAGCGAGAAGGCAGAGGACGCAACAGGGCACCCGGCGCCCAGUCAGCGCCACAAACUCCACAGCUACUGCCUCCUGGCUCACACUGAGGUCUGCGCCGCCCCCGCGCCACCCCCGCGCCCAUUGCCUCGGUGCAAGCGACCAACUCACCUCUCGGAGCCGACACCAGCAGCGAAGCCGGAAAGAACUGCGAGCGGAGGCCUGUGGGAAAUGUAGUCCGCCGAUGGGAGGGACUGGUUCCAGCCCCAACGGGCUGCGCGGAGUGCGCAUGCGCGGGGGCCGGAGCCCCGGGUGCGCUCGGGGCGGGAAGGCCCUCCGCGCUGCGUGGGGCUGAGGCGAGCUCGGGCUUGCGUUUGCUUUUGUCGCUGAGGAAGACUUUUAUUUGUUUAUUUUCUUGAGACAGGGUCUUACUCUGUCGCCCAGGCUGGAGUGCAGUGGCGUGAUUAGAGCUCACUGCAGCCGCGACCUCCCGGGCUCAAGCGACCCUCCCACCCGAGCCUCCAGAGUAGCUGGGACUGCAGGCGCGCGCCACCACGCCCAACUCAUUUUUUAAGUUUUUAUAGAGACCAGAUCUCCCUAUGUUACCCAAGCCGGUGUCGAACUCCUGGGCUUAAAAGAUCCUCCCGCCUGAGCCUCCCAAAGUGCUGGGACUACAGGCGUGAGCCACCAGGCUCAGCCGCGGAGGAUUUAGAAAGAAGUUUUGGCACCAGCAGAUGCCUAAUAUGUGUACUAAACACCUACCAGUUACUCACUGCAUACACCCAAGCAAGGUGUGGGCACACAUCAGGCAUGCAAUGAAAAUACUCUCAAAGCCCACCAGAACCUGGAGCAGGACGUAAACCUAGAAAGGUCGCUCGUGCUCACUGCCCUCUCCCUUUCUCCCACUCUGUCUCUGUCUCUGUGUGUGUGUGUGUGUGUGUGUGUGUGUGUGUGUGUGUGUGUGUCUCGUAUCUCCUGCAGUUGUGAAUGUAUUGUUCUACUAAAAAUACAAAAAAUUAGCCGGGCGUGGUCGCGCGCGCCUGUAAUCCCAGCUACUCAGGAGGCUGAGGCAGGAAAAUCGCUUGAACCCGGGAAGCGGAGGUUGCAUUGAGCUGAGAUCCGCCAUUGCACCCCAGCUUGGGCAACAAGAGCGAAACUCCGUUUCAAAAGAAAAAGACUAACUGGAGAGGUCUGUCUCCAAUGAGACUGAAUUUGUCCUGUCCUGCGUUCCUUCAGGAAAGAAAUGGGAUAAGCCCACCAGGGACCACCCUGAGGCAUCUUCUGUAUCCCAAAUUCUUUGAUAUAUUAGUUAAUACAUGAAAGAAUUUGUUCUUUCCUUAAGAAUAUAAAACUUUAGAAGAUAUUUGAAAAUGCCUCGGCAAUCUGGUUUCAUUUUGCAAACAAUAGGAUAUGCAUGAAAUAGGAGAUAAAUGAAAAAUCUGAGCUACUUUAUAACUACUAAGAAGGUGGCCAGACGCGGUGGCUGACGCCUAUAAUCCCAUCACUUUCGGGGGGCCGA
rnacentral:lncRNA from 1 species